rnacentral:rRNA from 1 species
CGAGGAUGAACGCUAGCUACAGGCUUAACACAUGCAAGUCGAGGGGAAACGAUAUUGGAAGCUUGCUUCUGAUAGGCGUCGACCGGCGCACGGGUGAGUAACGCGUAUCCAACCUGCCCAUCACUUGGGGAUAACCUUGCGAAAGUAAGACUAAUACCCAAUGACGUCUCUAGAAGACAUCUGAAAGAGAUUAAAGAUUUAUCGGUGAUGGAUGGGGAUGCGUCUGAUUAGCUUGUUGGCGGGGUAACGGCCCACCAAGGCGACGAUCAGUAGGGGGUUCUGAGAGGAAGGUCCCCCCACAUUGGAACUGAGACACGGUCCAAACUCCUACGGGAGGCAGCAGUGAGGAAUAUUGGUCAAUGGACGAGAGUCUGAACCAGCCAAGUAGCGUGCAGGAUGACGGCCCUAUGGGUUGUAAACUGCUUUUAUAAGGGAAUAAAGUGGGAGUCGUGACUCUUUUUGCAUGUACCUUAUGAAUAAGGACCGGCUAAUUCCGUG